rnacentral:rRNA from 1 species
UACGGAGGGUGCAAGCGUUAUCCGGAUUCACUGGGUUUAAAGGGUGCGUAGGUGGGCAGUUAAGUCAGUGGUGAAAUCUCCGGGCUCAACCCGGAAACUGCCAUUGAUACUAUCUGUCUUGAAUAUCGUGGAGGUAAGCGGAAUAUGUCAUGUAGCGGUGAAAUGCAUAGAUAUGACUUAGAACACCAAUUGCGAAGGCAGCUUGCUAAACAAAUAUUGACGCUGAGGCACGAAAGCGUGGGGAGCAAACAGG